rnacentral:rRNA from 1 species
UACGUAGGGACCAAGCGUUGUUCGGAUUUACUGGGCGUAAAGGGUGCGUAGGCGGCGCGUCAAGUCAGUUGUGAAAUCUUAAGGCUUAACCUUAAACGGUCAACUGAUACUGUCGUGCUAGAGUGCAGAAAGGGCAAUCGGAAUUCUUGGUGUAGCGGUGAAAUGCGUAGAUAUCAAGAGGAACACCUGAGGCGAAGGCGGGUUGCUUGGCUGACACUGACGCUGAGGCACGAAAGCUAGGGUAGCAAACGGG